rnacentral:sRNA from 1 species
AGUAAGUUAGCUCAUCAUGAUCAUGGUAUAUAGACAUGGAUGUAGAAUAUAAGCCAUACUAUAACUAGAUGUUUCACUAAUCAGCGGGUCACAUUCUCAGUGAUAGUACUAAUCAUUAUCCUGAAUUUUAUAACAAUAUUUUUUGUUUUUAUUUUUCAACAGUUCUUAUAUUUAGUGACUCACAGACAGGAAACCCAAGCCACAUUGGAAGCAUUGAUCCUAACUGUGAUGUGGUAGCAGUGGUCCAAGACGCCUUUGAGUGUUCAAGGAUGCUCUGUGAUCAGUAUUAUUUAACAUCUCCAGAAUUAAAGCUUACACAAGUGAAUGGAAAAUUUCCAGACCAACCAAUUCACAUCGUGUAUGUUCCUUCUCACCUCCAUCAUAUGCUCUUUGAACUGUUUAAGAAUGCAAUGCGGGCAACAGUUGAACACCAGGAAAAUCAGCCUUCCCUUACACCAGUUGAGGUUAUUGUUGUCUUGGGAAAAGAAGACCUUACCAUUAAGAUUUCAGAUAGAGGAGGUGGUGUUCCCCUGAGAAUUAUUGACCGCCUCUUUAGUUAUACAUACUCCACUGCACCAACGCCUGUGAUGGAUAAUUCCCGGAAUGCUCCUUUGGCUGGUUUUGGUUAUGGCUUGCCAAUUUCUCGUCUGUAUGCCAAGUACUUUCAAGGAGAUCUGAAUCUCUACUCUUUAUCAGGAUAUGGAACAGAUGCUAUCAUCUACUUAAAGGCUUUGUCUUCUGAGUCUAUAGAAAAACUUCCAGUUUUUAACAAGUCAGCCUUCAAACAUUAUCAGAUGAGCUCUGAGGCUGAUGACUGGUGUAUCCCAAGCAGGGAACCAAAGAACCUGGCAAAAGAAGUGGCCAUGUGAAGAGGGACACUCAGGACACUUUAUGGGAUCAAAGUGGGUCUGCACCAGUGCUGCUUCCUGAAUGUUUGUGUGUGAACCCUUGUUUCCUCCAAAACAAACGACAGCAACGAAAACUUCUUAAUCAGAACACUGAUCCAAUGAGGAAUGGAGCUUGUUUCUGUGACCCAGGAGAACUUAGUGCAAGACUACAGGAGUUAACAGAUGGUCAGCUCCUUAUUUUUUAAUGUAGAAUAACUCAUGAGUUUAUAUCAAAUCCCGAAGAAACAAGCCUCAGUUUUCCAUAUGUUUCUGAUAAGAAGAAUGAGAAAGGGAGUGAGUGUGAAGAUGGUGGUUAGCAGUUUCAGUAGACUGAUAUUUUAGGCCUCUUGUUCACAUCAAAAGAUAUUGGUGUCAGAAUACCAGCAUUUUCCUGCCAUGCAAAGGAUUAAAUCUUAGUUUACACUAUGUGGUUAGAAAUAUAUGUAAAUGUACAUUUUGAACAUAUUUAUGUGCUCUGGGAGGAAAUGCUGGUGACUAAAAUAAGGCUUACUCUGAAAGAGGAGGAAUUUUAUUCAAAGCAUUCGAACAUUUUAUUCAAAUGUUUCAAAAUUCAAAACAUUGUAUUCAAAGUUGCAGUGAAGGCAUCAACUUAUGUAAAAACUCAGAAGGAAGGCUCCUCUGAUAAAAACACAGCUCCUUUAUUAUGCUGCUUUUCCUGUUCACUUUACACACUAAGGAAACACUUAUUGUCAGGUGCCUAGUCUUGAGUGAAUUGUUAGAUGUGCACUGAACUCGGGAUGUUGGGGAUUGAAGAGAGAGAAUUGCCAAAGUAACAGCAAAAAUAUCUCUUACUUUGCUUUGUUUAUAAAUAAAUCAGUAGAUUGGAAAAACUAGUGUUAGGGAAAGAAAUCACAUGUUCAGAGCCUAACUCAGUAGGAAGGGCUUUUCUCUACCCUGAAAUGAUGGUAAUCCAAAGGCAUCCAUUUUCUAGGCUUAAAAAUGGAUAUAUAAUAUAUAAUUAAAUAUAAAUAUAAAUUAAAUAUAAUUAUAAUAAAAUAUAAUUAAAUAUAUUUUUGAUAUAUUUAAUUAUAUUCUCUACACUCCAGCAUUAAUAUGUCUGCUUAAAAAUUUCUGAUUCUCAAAUGGCUCAAGAACAUUAGAAUUUAAGUAUCUUUUAGAGUAAUUUUUUUAAGCGAAUAGGCUGGACGUAAGAGAUUCUCAUGCCAGCAUGCUUUCAUUUGUGAAUUGUGACUGAGAGCUAAUGAAUGACACCUGAAAAGCAUAUGGUAUUUUGGGAGAGUUAAGGUAUAAUUUGAAGGUUGGCAGGCCAGUCGCACUGAUUACUCUUAG